rnacentral:rRNA from 1 species
AAAACGGAGAGUUUGAUCCUGGCUCAGGAUGAACGCUGGCGGUAUGCUUAACACAUGCAAGUCGAACGGUGUCUUCGGACAUAGUGGCGGACGGGUGA